AUAGAAUAAAUGUUAAAUAACAAGCCAAAAUAAGAUGCAAUUGGAAACAGUACAUUUAAAUAUAUGGUUUGAAUGUAACGUCAUCCCAAGGAACAAUGAAAAGGGCACUUUGGUUUAGGAAGCAAACUGGGGAAAAAAAUCAACAGGGAGCAUGUUCAAUGAGGAAACAAUCUGCUCAAGGCCGGAGUGUAGGCUGAAGAUCAAAAUGAGGGCAUGAAUCCCUUUUGACCCUUUCCAGGAAAGUAGAUGAGAACAUCUGCAAUGGGGUUUUCUAUGGAAAGCCAAUGGGGUAAAAGUUCUGCUCAAGACCUUGAGCCAGCUGGAGAGGUAUGUCCUACAUAAUGAGGUACUUUCAAAUGACCUUGCUCUGAAACCCUUGCUCUUAUUUUCUGUCCCUUUCUCUCUCUUUCUCUGUUUAGAAACCCGGAGCCUCUCCAAGAAAUAUGUCGCCAGUUAAGGAUCUUUGUGUGUAAUUUUGAAGCCUUGAGUCAUGGUCCGCCAAAGCUCUUAAUGACUCUCCAGUCGCCGGCGGAGCGUGGCAGCAGAAGUUCCCCCCUGCGGUCUCAAAGAAAGGAAAGCAGCCUGAAAGUUGGUCGUGAUCUAAAUGAUCUGCGAGGGCUGAAGCGCUGCAACUUCGGACGACUUCCCAGAGGGCAACAGAAGACCACACAGAAGUCAAAAUCUGCAUUGGCAAUAGAAAGCAACGCUGUGGCCUUGAGUUGACUAGUCUUUAAAAGCAAUAAAUCAUGUCACUUUAAGAAGGGAAACCCCUUCCUGAGCAGAUUUAGUUUUUUAUUUAGACUCAGACAAUGAAAAGUAUGCAAACACAUUCAGUGGGUGCUUUCCUCGCAGUGAAGGCUUUCUUUAAAAUUAGCGCAUGACUACAAGUGAACCUUGAUACAGGCGUGUGACACAAACAGAGUUAAGAUCACUGACACAGUGCAUACUCAGCAUGCCAUUGGGCCUCAAGCAUGCACCUGUACGUACAAACAUUUGACUUUACAAUGACCGGUGCCAUUAUGUGUGGCAAAAGCCCCAGUUGUCAAGGGUAACAAUCUUUUUUUCUUAUAAUCACCUUUGUCUUGGCUUCUCUCAUUGGAUCAUAAAUCUCUGGUAAAUGGCCAAUGAAGACAGGCCUUAUUAAGAGUCCAUUGUGAUGCGUUUUAAAGCCCUCUGGGUGUUCUAUGAAGUCUCGGGCCAUCGCCGUCCCGUUCUGCUCUGUCUGACUGGAUGUUACACUUCUAGAAUACUAACUAUGUGCCUGUCAGUGGACCCCGGCUUCUUUCCCGAUCCAAAUGGGGCCCCAACAGUCGUCUUGCCCUGCUAGAUUAUCUAAGUACUUCUGAGAAGCAGGAUUUGUUUUUUUUUUUUUUUUUUUUUUUCCUCCAAACGUAAUUAAUACAGAAAUUAAACAUGACACGGACAGACUGGAGUAAUUAUGAACUUAUUUUAACUCAAGUUACUUGACUUAAUAGCGAGUUUUAGCCUCCUUUUGGGGCUAAUCACAUCAGAAAAGUACUUUUUACGUUAAAUUUGAUUAUUGUCAAAUAAAGGCUGAUACUUUUCACUCUUCCGAGUUUAAUGGUGCUAAAUGAGGGAGUUGCAUUGUUUAUUAGCAGCCCUGUUGGUGUAAACCGAGGCUUUGUUUGUCCUUUCAAACUCUGAUAAUGGGGUAAAAUGAAGGUGUUUACUCGUCUUUUAGGACAACACUGUGAGCAUCCCAUCUGGUCAGUGCACCAACAGUGAGCACAGGAUA